GACGAACCGUGCGAACGUUGUUCGGAAUCACUGGGCUUAAAGGGCGCGUAGGCGGGCUGUUUAGUCGGGGGUGAAAUCGUUCGGCCCAACCGAACAAGGGCCUCCGAUACUGGCAGUCUCGAGGGAGGUAGGGGUUGGUGGAACUUCCGGUGGAGCGGUGAAAUGCGUAGAUAUCGGAAGGAACGCCGGUGGCGAAAGCGGCCAACUGGACCUCUUCUGACGCUGAUGCGCGAAAGCUAGGGGAGCGAACGGG
rnacentral:rRNA from 1 species